rnacentral:rRNA from 1 species
CCUACGGGAGGCAGCAGUAAGGAAUAUUGGACAAUGCUCGCAAGAGUGAUCCAGCCAUGCCGCGUGCAGGAAGAAUGCCCUAUGGGUAGUAAACUGCUUUUGAACUAGAGAAAACCCCAGUACGUGUACUGGGCUGAUAGUAUAGUUAGAAUAAGCAUCGGCUAACUUCGUGCCAGCAGCCGCGGUAAGACGAAGGAUGCAAGCGUUAUCCGGAUUCAUUGGGUUUAAAGGGAGCGUAGGUGGACUGAUAAGUCAGUGGUGAAAUCUCCGAGCUUAACUCGGAAAUUGCCAUUGAUACUGUUGGUCUUGAGUACAGUUGCUGUGGGCGGAAUAUGACAUGUAGUGGUGAAAUACAUAGAGAUGUCAUAGAACACCGAUUGCGAAGGCAGCUCACAAAGCUGUAACUGACACUGAGGCUCGAAAGUGCGGGGAUCAAACAGGAUUAGAUACCCUGGUAGUCCGCACCGUAAACGAUGAUUACUCGCUGCUAGGGGGCAACCUUUAGUGGCUUAGCGAAAGCGAUAAGUAAUCCACCUGGGGAGUACGCCGGCAACGGUGAAACUCAAAGGAAUUGACGG